UGUGUAGGCGGUCUGGUAAGUCGUUGGUGAAAGCUCCGGGCUCAACUCGGAAACGGCCAGCGAUACUACCGGACUUGAGGACAGGAGAGGUGGUCGGAACUUUCGGUGUAGCGGUAGAAUGCGUAGAUAUCGAAAGGAACGCCGAUAGCGAAGGCAGGCCACUGGAAUGCACCUGACGCUGAAACACGAAAGCUGGGGGAGCAAACAGGAUUAGAUACCCUGGUAGUCCCAGCCCUAAACGAUGUAUACUAGGUGUUGCCCGUAUGGGCAGUACCGGAGCCAACGCGUUAAGUAUACCGCCUGAGGACUACGGCCGCAAGGUUGAA
rnacentral:rRNA from 1 species